rnacentral:rRNA from 1 species
GAGACGCUGGCGGCGUGCCUAACACAUGCAAGUCGAGCGGAGUCGAUCGACGGAAGCCUUCGGGCGGAAGAUGGUUGACUUAGCGGCGGAUGGGUGAGUAACGCGUGGGCAACCUGCCUCGAAGACCGGGAUAACAGCCCGAAAGGGCUGCUAAUUACCGGAUGUGGUCAAGGAUCCGCAUGGAUUUUUGAUUAAAGGGGAAACCCGUUUCGAGAUGGGCCCGCGUCCUAUCAGCUAGUUGGUGAGGUAAAAGCUCACCAAGGCGACGACGGGUAGCCGGCCUGAGAGGGUGACCGGCCACACUGGAACUGAGACACGGUCCAGACUCCUACGGGGGGCAGCAGUGGGGAAUCUUCCACAAUGGGCGAAAGCCUGAUGGAGCGACGCCGCGUGAGCGAAGAAGGCCUUCGGGUUGUAAAGCUCUGUCUGGAGGGACGAAGGAAGUGACGGUACCUCCGGAGGAAGCCACGGCUAACUACGUG